UUAGCCUGCUAGGAUUCGAACCUGGAAUCUUCUGAUCGGUAUAAUCAGACACGUUUCAACCGCGUUACGUCACGCUA